ACGCUAGCUAUAGGCUUAACACAUGCAAGUCGAGGGGAAACGGCAUUAUGUGCUUGCACAUUUUGGACGUCGACCGGCGCACGGGUGAGUAUCGCGUAUCCAACCUGCCCUUUACUUGGGGAUACCCCGUUGAAAGACGGCCUAAUACCCGAUGUAAUUCAUUGAUGGCAUCAGAUAUGAAUAAAAGAUUUAUCGGUAAAGGAUGGGGAUGCGUCUGAUUAGCUUGUUGGUGAGGUAACGGCUCACCAAGGCGACGAUCAGUAGGGGUUCUGAGAGGAAGGUCCCCCACAUUGGAACUGAGACACGGUCCAAACUCCUACGGGAGGCAGCAGUGAGGAAUAUUGGUCAAUGGGCGCAAGCCUGAACCAGCCAAGUAGCGUGCAGGAAGACGGCCCUAUGGGUUGUAAACUGCUUUUAUACGAGAAUAAUUUGAUGCACGUGUGCGUUAUUGCAUGUAUCGUAUGAAUAAGGACCGGCUAAUUCCGUGCCAGCAGCCGCGGUAAUACGGAAGGUCCAGGCGUUAUCCGGAUUUAUUGGGUUUAAAGGGAGUGUAGGCGGUUUGUUAAGCGUGUUGUGAAAUUUAGGUGCUCAACAUUUAACUUGCAGCGCGAACUGUCAGACUUGAGUACACGCAACGUAUGCGGAAUUCAUGGUGUAGCGGUGAAAUGCUUAGAUAUCAUGAAGAACUCCGAUUGCGAAGGCAGCAUACGGGAGUGUAACUGACGCUUAAGCUCGAAGGUGCGGGUAUCGAACAGGAUUAGAUACCCUGGUAGUCCGCACAGUAAACGAUGGAUGCCCGCUGUUAGCGCCUGGCGUUAGCGGCUAAGCGAAAGCAUUAAGCAUCCCACCUGGGGAGUACGCCGGCAACGGUGAAACUCAAAGGAAUUGACGGGGGCCCGCACAAGCGG
rnacentral:rRNA from 1 species